UCUCGUCCUGUCUCCCGUUCUUCUCCGACCACCCGACUCGCCGGCCGCCACCUUCCCAUUUACCGCCCCGCCGGCCGCCACCCACCGCUUCCGCCUUCCCAUUUACCACCCCGCCGCCGCAGCAAGACCACCACAUACCUCUCCGACCAAUACAUGCUCCAGAGAUGCCACUUACUCCGACCUGUUUCCUCCCCCCUCCUCCGCCGCCGCCCCAUCCACUCCUCCGCUCCGCCCCAAGCCGACGGCGAGGUCGGCGCCGCGACCGACACCACUCUACUAGGCCGUCUCACUCGCCUCCUCCUCCUCCACCGCUUCCCCGCCGUCUCCCGCCUCCUCUCCUCCUCCCCGCUCACACACGCCCUCCUCCACGCCGCCCUCCGCCGCGUCCGCCUCGACCCGGACGCCGCCCUCCACCUCUUCCGCCUUGCCCCGUACCGCCCCUCCCUCCUCGCCCACGCCCAGCUCCUUCACAUCCUCGCCCACGCCCGCCGCCUGCCCGCCGCGCGCGCCCUCGUCGCCUCGCUCCUCUCCGCCCGCUCCAGCUCCGCAGCCCCAUCCCUCUUCCCCCACCUCGCCGAGGUGUACAAAGACUUCUCCUUCUCCGCCGCCUCCUUCGACCUGCUCCUCCGAGCCCACGCAGACGCUGGCCAGCUUACCGACGCCCUCCACGUGUUCGAUGAAAUGGGGAAGUUCGGGUGCCGCCGCACCCUGCGGUCCUGCAACCGCCUGCUCAACCAGCUUGUACAGGCUGGGGAUGUGGGCACCGCGGUGGCUGUGUUUGAGCAGAUGCGGUGUGAUGGUACACUGCCGGACGAGUUCACGGUGGCCAUCAUGGCAAAGGCGUACUGCAGGGAUGGGAGGGUGGCACAAGCAGUGGAUUUCGUGCAGGACACGGAGAGGAUGGGUGUGGAGGUGAACCUUGUGGCAUAUCAUGCGGUUAUGGAUGGGUAUUGUGGAGUAGGACAGGCCGAGGCUGCGAGAAGGAUUUUGCUGUCACUGGAGAGUAAGGGUCUGUCACCGAAUGUUGUGACAUAUACCUUACUUGUAAAGGGUUACUGUAAGGAGGGGAGGGUGGAGGAGGCUGAGAGGGUGGUAAGGGAAAUGAAAGAAAAUGAGAAGAUUGUGGUUGACGAGGUAGCCUAUGGUGCGGUGAUCAAUGGCUAUUGCCAAAGGGGAAGAAUGGAAGAUGCCAACAGGGUAAGAGCUGAGAUGAUUGAUGUCGGACUGCAGGUUAAUUUGUUUGUGUACAACACACUGAUCAAUGGAUAUUGCAAGUUGGGGAGGAUGUUUGAAGUAGAGAAACUUUUACAGGAGAUGGAGGACAGAGGGGUGAGUCUGGAUAAAUACAGUUACAAUACUCUAGUAGAUGGGUAUUGCAGAAAUGGUUCCAUGAACAAGGCAUUUGCAACCUGUGAUAUGAUGGUAAGGAAUGGGUUCGCAGGAACAACACUAACAUAUAACACGCUAUUGAAUGGUUUUUGCUCACGUGGUGCUAUUGAUGAUGCACUUAAAUUGUGGUUCUUGAUGUUGAAGAGAGGAGUAGUGCCUAAUGAAAUUAGCUGUAGCACACUGCUGGAUGGUUUCUUCAAAGCAGGUAAAACCGAGAAGGCCUUGAACCUUUGGAAGGAAACCUUAGCAAGGGGUUUGGGAAGAAACGUGGUUACAGUUAACACAGUUAUCAAUGGGCUGUGUAAGAUUAGGAGGAUGGUUGAAGCAGAGGAGCUAUUUGGUAGGAUGAAGGAAUGGAGAUGUCCUGCUGACAGCUUGACUUACAGAACACUAAUUGAUGGUUACUGUAAAAUAGGUGACCUGGAUAGAGCUACUCAAAUUAGGGUUGACAUGGAACAUUUAGGCUUUGCUCCUUCAGUUGAAAUGUUCAAUUCUUUCAUAACCGGAUUCUUUGUAGCUAGGCAAAGUGGCAAGGUGAAUGAUAUCGUUGUUGAAAUGACUGCAAAGGGAUUUUCUCCUAAUACAGUCACUUAUGGAGCCCUGAUAGCUGGAUGGUGUAAAGAGGGCAAUCUGCAUGAUGCCUAUGAUUUGUAUUUUGAAAUGGCCGAGAAAGGUCUGGCUCCAAAUCUCUUCAUCUGCAGUGCUUUAGUGAGCUGUUUCUAUAGACAGGGAAAGGUUGAUGAGGCAAAUUUGAUGUUGCAAAAUCUUGUCGGCACAGACAUGAUUCCAAACUGCAGUGCAAACACGCUUGAUAUUGGUAAAGUAGCACAUGUCAUUGAAUCUGUUGCUGGCGGAAAUCAUCAGUCUGCAAAAAUUAUGUGGAACAUUGUUAUUUUUGGGCUGUGCAAAUUGGGUAGAGUUUCAGAUGCUAGAAAUUUGUUUGAGGAUCUGAAAGUAAAGGGAUUCGUUCCUGAUAACUACACUUAUUCUAGCCUCAUUCAUGGUUGCUCUGCCUCAGGUUUUGUCGAUGUAGCUUUUGGCCUGAGGGAUGCGAUGUUGGGCGUUGGUCUUACUCCAAAUAUCGUAACAUACAAUUCUCUCAUCUAUGGCCUCUGCAAGUCUGGGAAUGUUCAAAGGGCAGUUAGUCUUUUCAGUAAGUUGCAAUCAAAGGGUAUGUCCCCUAAUGCUAUCACCUAUAAUACCCUGAUUGAUGGACAUUGCAAGGAUGGUAAUACAACUGAAGCCUUCAAGUUAAAACAAAAGAUGAUCGAGCAAGGUAUUCAGCCUAAUGUAUUCACCUAUUCUAUACUGAUCCAUGGUCUCUGUACUCAAGGGUAUAUGGAAGAAGCAAUCAAGCUUCUGGAUCAAAUGAUUGAGAAUAAUGUGGAUCCAAAUUAUGUUACAUAUUGGACACUGAUUCAAGGUUAUGUUCGGUGUGGUAAUAUGAAAGAGAUUUCCAAGCUUUACAAUGAGAUGCAUAUCCGUGGACUUCUGCCUGCCAAUGGUCACUGUCUCGAGAGGUUUUAAAGGUGGUGGAUAUCAUGCAAACUUCUCCAGUCAAGAAGAGGAUGAAGACAGUUCUCAGAGCUUCCUGGCGUCAUCGGAGGUGGCCUCAUCGAAGAUGACAGUCAGUUUCUUGCAGAUAAGAUGCUUUUCCUUUGUAAGGAUGUCGGCCUGCAUCGCCGCUGGCUUGCUGGCAAUGUGCGUGCUCUGGUGGACGGAGCCUAGGGAGACACGAAUCUUAUGUCGGCGAGGUGGGGAAUGAAUAAUAUUCAUAUACAGAGCUUACACUGGGGGAUCAUUCACACAAUAGCUUUGCCUUCAUGCUUGGAUGGAACACUCCUUAAGGCUGAUAAUCGCAAGGAGAGGUCAGAGGAGAAGAAGCACGUGGUGGACAAGCACACACCGGGGAAGCACCUGACAUGGCAUCACACUUCUGUACACCGUGGCCAUCUGCACAUGAAUAGGCAAGAUUGUGCGCAGCAAGAGGCGUGCCACUAUUUACCUCCAGGUACUACAUAUCCAGUGAGUAACUCAUAUUUAAUUGUCGGGUAAGUAAAUAUGUCAUGGUCAGAAGUCAUUGGCUAUGUGCUACGCAUAGCCAUUCCUCGAAACUGGAAGUUGGAACAGUACAAUCUGCAAUCCUGUCAUAAAGCACAUUGCGCAUUCAAUUGUUUUCAAGGACAAUAGGUUUUUUAAUCUUCCUCUCACUGUGAAAAUGAACCUUGCACUCAGCGGAUGAUUUGAACUACGUGUUCAGUAACAGCGCUAAGCUUCAUAGGGUGACUAAGGUUUGAUGGGAUAACACUAUACAAGCAUGAUCUUUAGGUAGAACAGAUAUAUGGCCUGUCCAGUUUUAUUGUCUCAUCGAGUUUAAGGCAUUGGAUAUCCUUCUCAGAAAAUAGCAUUUCCCCCAUGUGAUCUGGAUAUGUUGCAUUUGCCCCAUGUGAGAGAAAUAUCAUUUUGAUAUCCUCCUGAGAAAAUAACAGUCUUCGCAAGAUAAAGCUAACAGUACACCAUCUGUUAUUGGUUAUUAGAGUAUAUGCUAAUUUUGCAUUUGCAUGCCUGCUGGUUUAUGAUGGCAUUGAAAGAUAAGAGCCCUAUGCAUAUCUUGCUUGCACCUGUUCGGAUUUCCUGUUUUGGUGCUAGAUUGUUGUCCAUGAGGUCUUAUCGAUUGAUUCAAUAGUUCUAGGAACUAAAGAAAUCUAAAGGCGCAUAUGUUAUCUAAUUUUGUGGUGCUUUCAGCUUUGAUCUUACAACUGAACCUGAAUACGAGUACUACUUACUUGGAUGGCUAAACUUGGAAGUCAGAAACUAAAUCUGUGACCCCUGUGUUGCCCCCUCGAUAAAAAUGUACAUUGAGGUCAGCUAUCUUGACCGUCACUUUUUUUCGUUUCAGUGCAGCAUGACCAUAUGACAUGAAGUUUUAUCAUUGCUCCUUGGCAUACUACUAAUAGUUAUGUGUCAUCUAAAAAUCUGGCGAACUGUUGUGAUAGAUUAAGGGGCUAUGGGCAGCUACACUUCAUGAUUUUCCUCGUUAAUAUCCAUAUAUUUUUGUCAAUGUCUUACACAAAAUUUUGGCUAUAGACCGCACAAAGUGAUCUUACCUGCGCUAUAGGGUUCAGAUGUGCGUAUGACUAGAUGAACAUUUUCAUUUCUGGUCAUGGUUGCAGCAAGCUAUAAGAAACUAUAUAUCCAAUAAAAUUCAAGUUACACUGAAACCACUUUUAGAGUUUUAAUUGAGAAUUUCUCAAAAUUUACCGUAUGUUGGCACGGUAAUUAAUUUUAAUGAAUAUGUGUAAUUUCAAGUUCACACUGAUAUUCUUUCGGAAGAUACUAACAAAAUCAACAUGAAUAGUGACGUUACUGUUCGUCAUUAUUGGAAUCAGGAUUUGUUUUUCCAUGCAUUCAAAUAGCUUUGAGUUCGACUAUAUAAACUUUUACGCGUUUAUAGAGCAUUACUUCCCCAACAUAUGUAGGCUUUUGAUAAUUUGUGUAAUAAACUUUGAAGUGCCUAUAGUGUCCAUGUCGUUUUUCCCCGUACAACCGAAUAUUUCCCCCAGAAAGCCAUGGCUUAGCCUGGCUGAACACGUCAACCAUAAACUCUUCCAUCUGUCCGCUAUGUCCCAUUAGGGCAUGGCCAGUGCAUAGCCCCAGUGUGAUGCCUCACAUGCCAUGUAGGAUCGAUGUCAGAAAAAGUAGGUUCGGAUAGGGAUGCAGGAGGCGGAUGCUUGGAGAGAAAAAUUGUGGUCUGGUGCAUAAAGUUGGAAAAGUUGAAGUGAAGAGUAGGAUGCAUGUGUAAUGAGAGUCUACUUUAUAUUAUUUGAUGAUGCCCACUAGUAGUAGCUUGCAUUGGAGAGAAAAAAUCAAUAUAGAUGCUUGAAACUACUUUUUGUCAUGGGGCAUCUGUAUCCAUAUGCCACCAUUGUACGUGCCCUUAGUAUAUAGAGUAAGAUGCAUAUCCAUGCAUGACGUAUAUGUGCAUAGGACAUAUCAGUUAGCUAGCCUGGCAUUGUUUUGCCAGCUCAGUCAGCAGAUUAACUAACUAAACAAGAAAUUCUGAUGACAUCCAACAUAUGGGCGGUAAUCUCUAGCAUGCCAGCCAGCCAACCUAUGCAUUUAUUUUACCUGAAGUGAAGAGCACCGCAACUCGGCCAGCCUAUAUAUUCAGUCCAAGACGUACGAUAGAUAGGAUAGAGCCUGUGCUAAACCCAUACAAGUACAUCAGUAUCUGAAGAUGAGCUCUCCUGGGAAGACAUCGUGGCCAGAGGUGCUCCACUGGUCUGUGUACCCGGCGAUGGACAAGAUCAAGAGCGACAGGCCGGAGCUGACCAUCGACUCGCUGCCGGUGGGCACCAUCCCAGCCCCGCCGGGCUUCCAGUCGGACCGCGUCCUCGUCUUCUACCAGCAGGAGGAGGGGGUCGUCCACCGGGUCGUAGUCAUCCCCGUCGUCGGCUAGCCAGCUAGUUGAUCUUAUACUCUUGAAAUCUGUGGUGAUCGGUCUGAUAUGACCGUUAUGCAAAACAAAUAAAUGUACGUCUUCACAGGCACUAUGUGU